AUAGAAUGUCAGCUUUGGGUGCUGAUGGCGGGGCUGUAGNUCCUUCCUUGA
rnacentral:tRNA from 1 species